rnacentral:lncRNA from 1 species
AUGCUGUCUAGACGCUCCAGUGACUCCAGCACAGCACAACCUGUAACACCAUCCCCGUUGCUCCCGACAAAGCCCAUGGCCAGGGGCACUGCCCCGACUGCCCUCCUCGGGACUCAGCCGGGGCUGCUCCCAAAGACUCCCGGACAUGGACAGCCUACCAUUCCCGCACACACAGUACGCUCCACAACGACGACGGAGAGCGCCGGACCCCAGUACGCCCGGAGGGGCAGCACCAGGAGACGCUCCACGUCGGUCACGGCCACUCGCUGGCCCAGCCCCGACACGUUUCAGCCCCAGCCCCAACCCCGCCCAGGGCCCGAUGCCCUCGCCUCCCGCCGCUCACCUGCCGGCCCCAAGGCCAAGGCCAAGGCCAGCAGCCGCGGCCCCAGCCCGCCCGCCCUCGGGCCCUGCCGCGCCCGGCGGGAGGCGGACAGCAGCAGAGCGGGGCCAAGCUCGGGCCGCUCCUGCCCGCACCACAAGUCGGGCCCUCGCCGGGGCAGCGCCCACCGCUCCGCCCGCCCACGCCCGGCCCACACCGCCCCCCGCGGGGCCGCGGCCCCUUCGGCGGACGAGGAGGCGGCCGCGGGGCGGGGCGCGGGGCAGCUCGGCGGGCAGCGGAGGAGCGCGGCGCCCCGGCAGCCGGAGGCAGGGAGGGAGCCUCCUGGCCCUGUCCUCCCGGCGCUGCCCCGGCCUCGAGCCUCGAGCCCCGCGCAACCCGGCAGGAGGGACCCGGCAGUGCCGCGCCGGGGCCACACGGAAAAGCUGCUCGGCCGCUCGCUGCCUGCUGUGGCCACGGGAGCCGGCAGCGAGAGCCUCAUCUCUUCCAUCCUGCAGCUGCAAGCACCCGUGCUCAGGAGCUCUUGGUCCCAUUGCAGCCUGAGCACUGACAUUACUGUCAGGGAGGGGGAAAGAGGAAGACAGCCAGGACACGAGGCUAAGCACAAGCUCAUCAUGAGCCCCAGAUUUCCAUUUAAUUGCCUUGAGAGGAUUGAGCAGAGGGCAUAUGAAAAUGUACAAAAGAAAAAGCCGCGUGUUCUUGGUGUGGACUCAGACUCACCAUCAACUGCCUGUGAACUGUCAACCCAUCCAUGA